rnacentral:rRNA from 1 species
AUUGAACGCUUGCGGCAGGCUUAACACAUGCAAUUCUAGCGAGUGGCGGACGGGUGAGUAAUGUCUGGGAAACUGCCUUAGGGAGGGGGAUAACUAAUGGAAACGGUAGCUAAUACCGCAUAACCUCGUAUGUGCCCAGAUGGGAUUCGCUAGUAGGUGGGGUAACGGCUCACCUAGGCGACGAUCCCUAGCUGGUCUGAGAGGAUGACCAGCCAAACUGGAACUGAGACACGGUCCAGACUACUACGGGAGGCAGCAGUGGGGAAUAUUGCACAAUGGGCGCAAGCCUGAUGCAGCCAUGCCGCGUGUAUGAAGAAGGCCUUCGGGGUGUAAAGUACUUUCAGCGAGGAGGCGUUACCCGCAGAAGAAGCACCGGCUAACUCCGUGCCAGCAGCCGCGGUAAUUC